CUUUCGAAUAAAUAGUAAAUUUCACCAACCCAAAAAAAUGAAUUAAAAAUAUAACAAAAGAUAUUAUGUUUGAAAUUUAGCUCACUGGAUCGGGUAUAAAUCUGUUCAUUUCAGGUAUGAGUUCUUCGAGUUCUCAACAUUUGGAUCUAAGUAGGUAUUUGAUUUCUUUUUGUCCGGGUCGAUUUUUUUUGGUUCCGGAUCAUUCUAACUUUUUUAUAUUAUAAAUUUUAAAUAAUAUACAACAUGUAUAUAAAAUAUGUGAAUCAAAAGAUAAAUCCGCGCAGGCGCGCGGGUCAUGAUCUAGUUAUAUAUAUAUGCUUGAUGUACAAAAAGUUGGUAGUUUCCUAAAAAGACUUGUAUAUAUUUCUUAAAAGAAAAUUGAUUUUGAGAAAAAUAUGUAUGCAAAUUUGUAAAAUUUCAUAACAAUCAACGAAAAUUCAUACAAAAUCUAUUCAACUUUUAAAAUCUCUCAACUUUUAAAAUUCUCAGAUUCUACACAAAUUCUUGUCCUAAUAACCCCUUAAUAUUAAAAAGGAAAAAAAAACACACUGUAAAAUAAAGACAUCAGGUUAAUUUAUCUUCUGCUACGCCAAUCUUCUUCUUCCUCUUCAAUGGCUCCAGUUUGACAAACCUCCACCGCAACUCCCCAGCUCUUCUGUCACGACCUCCUCUCGGUUUCGAGUCAAGACCCUCGCCGGUCUUAUGCUCCGUCACACCGGAUCUCAGAACUACAUGUUCGCCUAGCCACCGUGGCUCUUCUUCCAUGGCGUCCAGUCCAUCUCCACCGCUUUGCUCCACCACAAAAUAUCUCUUCCAGUCUGUCUCAACUCCUCCGUCGUGUUCUCAGCUAUCCAUAUCGUCGAAAUCAUCCUCGCCGACGCGUUUCUCCUUGAUUGGUCCUCUUGAGUUUGCCAUAAGACUAGGGAUGGCGAUCAAGGACCUGGACCGCAGGCCUGGCCCGUAAAAGUGUGCUGCGGGGCGGGAUAAGACUAGCGUGUACAAAUCUAACCCAAGAGAAUAUUACAAAACUGCAAUCUUGGCCCUGGAUUUUCGUCUUCUUUCGUUUAUACCCAAAUGUCUUGAGCCGAAAAAGACGAAAAUAUCCUUUCAAAUGGACCCUAAUCAUUCUAAUUGUGCAAAAAAUCGUGGAUGAAGAUAAAAGAUAAGGGUGAAAAAAUCGGGGAGAAUUAGAAAAAUGGACAUUUUGAACUUUUAUUUAUCUUUUUAAGAUUUCUUUUAUUUUGGCAAUUCUAGACAUGUUUUACCCUUCGUUCAUUGGAAAAUAGUAAAUUUAAUUUUAAAAAUGUAAAAAAGUAUGAAAACUAUUGUAAACAUAAGUAUGAAAAUUUAUA